AUUGAACGCUGGCGGCCGGCUUAACACAUGCAAGUCGAGCGGAGCGGCGGACGGGUGAGUAAUGCCGAGGAAUCUGCCUGGUCGUGGGGGAUAAGGUCCGGAAACGGGAGCUAAUACAGCAUACUAUCAGAUGAGCCUAGGUCGGAUUAGAUAGUUGGUGGGGUACAGGCCUACCAAGGCGACGAUCCGUAGCUGGUCUGAGAGGGUGAUCAGUCACACUGGAACUGAGACACGGGCCAGACGCCUACGGGAGGCAGCAGUGGGGAAUAUUGGACAAUGGGCGAAAGCCUGAUCCAGCAAUGCCGCGGGUGUGAAGAAGGGCUUCGGAUUGUAAAGCACUGUAAGUAGAGAGGCGUUACCAACAGAAGAAGCACCGGCUAACUUCGUGCCAGCAGCCGCGGUAAUAC
rnacentral:rRNA from 1 species